CCAUCUCGGAGCCCUGGUCAGGGCUGUGCCAACUCCUCAGACCGUGGCACUGCGGCUUCAGCGUUUCUUUCCCUUUUCUUUCCCCGGACCCCACUCAGGCUGCUAGUGAAUACUCCUCCGGGGAGUGGCUCCCACCACACCCUGGCCCUGCCCACGGGCUGUACUGGGAGAUCCUGGAGCAGGGGGAGGGGACGUCGUAUCACGCGCGUGGACGUGAGGCGCGCCAGGUCUUUGUCUCUGGGCUGCCAAGUGGGGUGGGCCAGGGUUAAGGGCGGAUGCGGGGGUGCCUUGGACUGACACCAUUAGAACAAGCAGCCAGGAGAAAGUACUUCAUAGGGCCCGCACCAACCUGCCCUGCAUUCCCCGGACGACCAUGACCACCCAAGCUCAGGGAGUGUUCAGCAAUUAUGUGGAAUAGGAUAUUAACAGGAGCUGCCACAUAGUGAAUUCCUCUUAAAUUAAUCCUCCUUACCAGUCUAAAAUAAGCCACUGGCUGUUCAAGGAACUCAGUCAAAUAUGAGAUGUGUUUCCUGACUCAUUGAAGAUUAAUAUGUGUGAAAAUGAUUCAUCAAAUGCUGAACUGAAGAAAGUCCUUUCCUGCUUGUUGCUAGGUAUUUGAAAAAGGCGUUAUCUAUCUAUCUAUCCAUUCAUCUAUCCCCAUACACCUGCACUAUUACAUACUAAUGAUUAAGAGUAUAACCCUAGUACACCAGGGCUCAGACACUGACUUUAUUAUAUAUUAUUUUUAGAACAUUUGGGUUAUUAUAUAACUUUUUCAGACCCCAGAUUUCCUUGUCUGUAAGAAAAAUAUUAAUAUGAGUAAUGUUCAGAUUUAAAGUGAAUAUUAAAGAUAUAAUGUAUACAAAGCUUUUAACCUAUUCUUGUCACAUACACGCUCUAAAAUAUGUUACUUCUUUUGUUAGUUUUACUACUGCUGCUGUUGCUGCUACUUCUGCUAUU